UCGAGAAUUUUUCUCAAUGGGCGAAAGCCUGAAGGAGCGACGCCGCGUGGGGGAUGAAUGGCUUCGGCCCGUAAACCCCUGUCAUUUGUGAACAAUGUCUUCUAUCUAAUAGGUGGAAGAUUGAUAGUAACGGAAGAGGAAGGGACGGCUAACUCUGUGCCAGCAGCCGCGGUAAUACAGAGGUCCCAAGCGUUGUUCGGAUUCACUGGGCGUAAAGGGUGCGUAGGUGGUGAGGUAAGUUUGAUGUGAAAGCUCCGGGCUUAACCCGGAAAUGGCAUUGAAUACUAUCUCGCUUGAGGGUUGGAGGGGAGACUGGAAUUCUUGGUGUAGCAGUGAAAUGCGUAGAUAUCAAGAGGAACACCAGUGGCGAAGGCGAGUCUCUGGACAACUCCUGACACUGAGGCACGAAAGCUAGGGGAGCAAACA
rnacentral:rRNA from 1 species